rnacentral:rRNA from 1 species
UACAGAGGGUGCGAGCGUUAAUCGGAAUUACUGGGCGUAAAGCGUGCGUAGACGGUUAUUUAAGUCGGGUGUGAAAGCCCCGGGCUCAACCUGGGAAUUGCAUUCGAGACUGAAUAGCUAGGGUACGGUAGAGGGAAGUGGAAUUUCCGGUGUAGCGGUGAAAUGCGUAGAUAUAGGAAGGAACACCAGUGGCGAAGGCGACCACCUGGACCGACACUGACGCUGAGGCGCGAAAGCGUGGGGAGCAAACAGG